GUGGGGGUGCCGCUGGGGGAGGGAGGAGAUUUACCUGCUUACAGACAAUUUUAACUGUUAUUAACCGCAUUAUAUCCAAAUUUGUUUUAUAUCUGGUGGCGUUAUAUCGAGGUAGCGGUGCAGUUCUGGUCUGACCAAAAUAUUGUCUGAUUCCCCCCCCAAUCAUUUCCCACAACUGUGAAAAUUUAAAUUGGAAUGAAAUGCUUAAAACCAAGAUUGUUGUGCAACUGUGAAAGUUUAAAUCAAUAAAUAUAAAAAUUGCUUAAAAUAAACAUUAUCUGUCAAAAUUAGAUUAUACAAAAAAUUCUGCCAAGCCUGACUAUCACUCCUUAGACACACAGCUCCUGCUCCUCCAGGCUUAUCCUCACAGGGGGCUGCCUCAGUGACCCUCCACCACCAGCACAGGGGCUGAUUGCAGGACCGGAGCCCUAGUGGUACAUUUCUUACCAAAGCCUCCAGGGCUGAAAUUGGUUGGGUUUUUCCUGCUCAGCAAACAGCAUGAGUCAUUUUCAGGCAAGGAAACACCCCCUUAUUGCUGCAGGCGGGGCAUAGUGUGAACUCAGGAAAUUGAAACUAACCCUGUUACCCUGCCCAGAGAGAGCCAUGGCUGCAGAGAACCCCGUGGAAAGUCUCCAGGAAGAAGCUUCAUGUCCCAUCUGUCUGCAGUAUUUCACAGAACCUGUCACUCUGGAGUGUGGGCACAAUUUCUGCCGAGCCUGCAUCAGCCAGUGCUGGGAGGGAUCCGACACAGCCGCCUCCUGCCCUCAGUGCAGAGAAACUGUGCAACAGAGAAACCUCAGGCCCAACAGGCAGCUGGCAAAUGUCGUAGAAAUCGCCAAACGGCUGAGUUUACAGGCAGCAAAGGGAGCAGGACGGGACGGGGUGUGUGGGGAACACCAGGAGGCUCUGAAACUGUUCUGUGAAGAGGAUCAAACCCCCAUCUGUGUGAUCUGCAGAGAGUCCCGGGCUCACCGCGCUCACACUGUGGUUCCCAUACAGGAAGCUACCCAGGAGUACAAGGAAAAAAUACAAGCCCAUUUGAAGACUCUGAAGGAAGAGAGAGAAAAGCUGCUGGGAUUUAAAGUGACUGGAGAGAAGAGAAGCCAGGAGUAUCUGGUAGGUGCCUAUUGUUCUUUGCCUGCUGGGACAUGGAGGUGGGAGGGAUGUUUAUUGGUAGAUUUGUGUGUGUUUCUCCAUGAUCAUGGGAUACUGUGUG